rnacentral:misc_RNA from 1 species
GAUGAAGAACGUAGCGAAUUGCGAUAUGUAAUGUGAAUUGCAGAUUUUCAGUGAAUCAUCGAAUCUUUGAACGCACCUUGCGCUCCUUGGUAUUCCUUGGAGCAUGCCUGUUUGAGUAUCAUGAGCAAAUCUCAAAGUCGAUCCUUUUGUUAAUUCAAUUGGUUUUGCUUUGGACUUGGAGGUCUUGCAGAUUUCACCAUCUGCUCCUCUUAAAUGUAUUAGCUGGAUCUCAGUAUUUAUGCUUGGUUCCACUCGGCGUGAUAAGUAUCACUCGCUGAGGACACUGGUAAAAAGGUGGCCAGGAAAAUACUGAUUGACCCGCUUCUAACGGUCUAUUAACUUAGACAAUUACCCUUAAGUUUGAUCUCAAAUCAGGUAGGACUACCCGCUGAACUUAAGCAUAUCAAUAAGCGGAGGA